GAUGAACGCUGGCGGCGUGCCUAAUACAUGCAAGUCGAGCGAACGGACGAGAAGCUUGCUUCUCUGAUGUUAGCGGCGGACGGGUGAGUAACACGUGGAUAACCUACCUAUAAGACUGGGAUAACUUCGGGAAACCGGAGCUAAUACCGGAUAAUAUUUUGAACCGCAUGGUUCAAAAGUGAAAGACGGUCUUGCUGUCACUUAUAGAUGGAUCCGCGCUGCAUUAGCUAGUUGGUAAGGUAACGGCUUACCAAGGCAACGAUGCAUAGCCGACCUGAGAGGGUGAUCGGCCACACUGGAACUGAGACACGUUCCAGACUCCUACGGGAGGCAGCAGUAGGGAAUCUUCCGCAAUGGGCGAAAGCCUGACGGAGCAACGCCGCGUGAGUUAUGAAGGUCUUCGGAUCGUAAAACUCUGUUAUUAGGGAAGAACAUAUGUGUAAGUAACUGUGCACAUCUUGACGGUACCUAAUCAGAAAGCCACGGCUAACUACGUG
rnacentral:rRNA from 1 species